GAUGAAGACGCAGCGAAAUGCGAUAAGUAAUGUGAAUUGCAGAAUUCAGUGAAUCAUCGAAUCUUUGAACGCACCUUGCGCUCUUUGGUAUUCCGAAGAGCAUGCCUGUUUGAGUGUCAUGAAAAUAUCAACCUUGACUUGGGUUUUGUGCUCUAGUCUCGGCUUGGAAUUGGGUGCUUGCCGCUUUUACGAGCGGCUCACCUUAAUUGUAUUAGCUGGAUCUGUCUUUGAGACUUGGUUUGACUUGGCGUAAUAAGUAUUUCGCUAAGGACAUUCUUCGGAGUGGCCUCGUUUCUAGGACGCUUGUCCGCUUUCCAAUACAAGUUCCACCUCGUGGACAUGACUUUUUAUUAUCUGGCCUCAAAUCAGGUAGGACUACCCGCUGAACUUAAGCAUAUCAAUAAGCGGAGGA
rnacentral:misc_RNA from 1 species